rnacentral:rRNA from 1 species
UACGUAGGGGGCUAGCGUUGUCCGGAAUCAUUGGGCGUAAAGCGCGUGUAGGCGGCCCGGUAAGUCCGCUCUGAAAGUCGGGGGCUCAACCCUCGGAUGCGGGUGGAUACUGUCGGGCUUGAGUGCGGAAGAGGCGAGUGGAAUUCCUGGUGUAGCGGUGAAAUGCGCAGAUAUCAGGAGGAACACCAAUGGCGAAGGCAGCUCGCUGGGACGUGACUGACGCUGAGACGCGAAAGCGUGGGGGAGCAAACAGG